rnacentral:rRNA from 1 species
UCUUCCCUCUAGCUUCAGGCUUAAUACAUGCAAGUCGAGGGGCAGCAGCACUGUAGCAAUACAGUUUCUGGCGACCGACAAACGAGUGCGGAACACGUACGCAACUUACCCUUUACUGGGGGAUACCCCAGGGAAACCCGGAUUAAUACCCCGAACUAUAACGGAAUGGCAGCACUUUAUUAUUUAAGCUCCGUCGGGUCGGAAUCGCCGUGCGGCUGCUUAGGGAGUUGGUUGAGGUAAAGGCUCACCAAGCCUACGAUCAGUAACUGGUGUGAGAGCACGACCAGUCACAGGGGGACUGGGACACGUGCGCGACUCAUACGGGAGGCAGCAGUAAGGAAUAUUGCGGAAUGGAGGCAACUCUGACCCAGCCAUGCCGCGUGGAGGAUGAAGGCGCUCUGGGUUGUAAACUUCUUUUAUAGGGGACGAAACCUGUGUAUUGUUGCGCAGUUGACGGUACUCUAGGAAUAAGCACCGGCUAACUCCGUG